AGAAUCAUAUCUGGGCAACGCACAGUAAGUUUCUUACUAUGAUUGUGACACAUAUACAAGCUUGUGAUAAAUUUUAUCCCCUCUCUCCUUCUCUCUCCCCUUUUGAAUCUAUCUUAUGGCACCGAUACACAUUAUUAGCAUAGUUUAGGAAGCUCAUAUGUAUGAUCAUAUGGAUGAGAAAUUUUUAAAUUGCAAUUAGAAUCAUUGUCUGAAUCUGAGUUGCGAUAGAGGUGGCUGAAAUGGACAUAUGAUAAGAAUUCACAUCUUAGAUCUGCGUCCAUA
rnacentral:misc_RNA from 1 species